rfam:Candidatus Lloydbacteria bacterium RIFCSPLOWO2_12_FTLL_51_9 rifcsplowo2_12_scaffold_27747, whole genome shotgun sequence.
GGGGACGUAGCUCAGCUGGCAGAGCGCUGCCUUGUCACGGCAGAGGUCGCGGGUUCAAGUCCCGUCGUUCCCG